CCACUCACAGGUGAGGAGCAGGUUGUGGACCUCGUGCAUGCACUGAAUGUAUCCCGUGCUGUACCUCUGCUGAGCUUCAAGGCCCACUUUGGAGUCAGCUGCGUUGAACAGGAGACAACUGGAGUUGGUUUUUUCCAGUUGAUCAGUAGAAAUGGCUGCACAACUUCUAGCCAGGUUUGGCUUGGCUGGCAGGGAAGAGACGUCACCUCUGCUGCUCCUGAAGCACACCUCCCAGCAGGACCUCUCGCGGAAGAGGCACCAUCCCACGGCAACCUUCCCAAAGGAAUGCCCAAGGCCAUCUCGGUUCCUGGCUCAGCUGAGCGUUGCAGAGGUGUCUGAGAAUGCAAAAUUGCCCAAAAGCUCUGAAACGCACCAGAAGAGGUGCCCAAGCCCAGCCCGUACCAGCCCCAGCCCAUGCCUGUUCCUGCCCUGGGCAGUGGGCUCAGGGUUCUGGGAAGUCCCCUGUUCACGCAGCCCCCGCUGGCUUCUGCUGGCAGUGAGUUUAUUUCAAGGUUCAUUUGUAAGACAACAUUUCUGUGAAAAAGAAGAGCAGCUUUUGCUGUAAACAGUUAUUUUACACCUCUCAUUCAGGGCAGAACCCUUUAUGCUCAAAGCGAGGGGGUGCGCGGGCGGGAGGGCCACACUGCCUUUCAGGGGAAGCGUGACAUCUGUGCUGGGGUUUGUAUGGCCCAAACAGGCGCAUGCAAAUGAGCGCGGAGCAUUAAAGGGAGCUUUCUGCAAAUUCCCGCUUCACUUUUGCAUUUCGCACUGCCAGGUUUCGCUGAAAGGGGAUUCUCCAUAGAAAACAAAGCCUCCCUUUUUCCCGGGCUUUCCAAAAAAAAAAAAAAAAAAAAGAAGUAAAAGGGUCAGUGCCGCUCGGAGUUUUAUUUUUUGCUAUUUGUCUACAUUUCACACCCUGGAGAAAGAAAACAACUUUUAACAUCUGUUCCUGCGCUUUUUAAGACGGAAAGAAAGGCCCUUGGAAAUGGGGAAAGUGUGGCAGAUGUUUGCAGAUUCCCUCCAACGCAGAUGUCUUGCUCUGAAAAAAGUUCCAUUAGGAAUCCGUGGCCACAGCUCCUCUUUGACUUGGGACACGCGACUGCUGAGCGAAUGAAGGGACGUGGGAAAGAUCUAUGGGACAAAAGAGCUUAUUCAAACAAACCUGAGAGCCGUGAACAAUCUAAUAACCAGCAGAGAAAUGGUCAGUGGCCCCGGCCCUGCCAGAGGGGCAGCGCUCCUGGGGUUGGGGGCAGUCAAUGGCCACAGGAAGGGGCCUUUGGCGCCUCUCAUUGCAAAGCCAACUUCGCCUCAGGCUGGGACGUGUGUUCCUGGGAAGCAGGGAUGGUGCCACCGAGAUCUCUUCCACUCGGGUGACAUCCACAUCCCAUAGAUGACCGCUGCUGUUCUUUGUGAUCUGCAUGCUGAGGCCUCACUCUAAGAGGCAGUUUCUGGACAGAAGGGCACUUUGCAGACCUGGUUCAGCUCCUGCUGAAGACAGGCAGACGUGAGCACUGUGUUCCCAGGGCUGCGGGUGGCCCCUCUCCACAUCCCAGCAACCUCCCCCACCACUGACACUGUGCUGCAGCCAUAGGCUUCUUCCUUGGGGUGCUGGUGACAGCUAACCGUGGGCCAGGCCUGCAGGACCCUCAUUUGGAACCACUGGUCUUUCAUUACUGCCGGGGUGUUCUCAGCUGUGACAUGUGUUGAGUUGUUCAAUACUGCUGAUGGCUCCAGGAUGAAGGGACGUGCCUUUCUGGCACUUCUCAGCAAGUUCAAUCCCUAGGAGACCAGAGAGAGCUACAGGGAUGCUUCCCAGCUUCCCAUUCUGUCCUUUGGGGUCUAUAUUUCUGCUGUAUAUUUGCUACAGGUUAGAGAGAAUGGCAUAACGUAAAUGCAUUGUGUCCCUCAGUCCUUGUCCCACUGCUGUGGAUAUGAAGAAGACACUUGUCUCCAGCAACCCCAGUUCGACCAGCCUGAAUAUUGCCACCACUGCCUUUCCAAACCAAGGCACCGUCCCCCACCACGCAAGGCACCGAGAACAACUCAGCCCUGACGUGCGGCCUCAGUACCCCCUGCACUCUCCCCAGGGCACGGAUGGCCCGGAUCUCUGUAGCUAGAAGCAAACAUUCACAAAGGAGAGGCUGUUUCCACAGUGGUUUCAGUCAUUAUGACUGAAUGGUUUUAGUCUGGGAGGUUUCAGAAGUUCAGUUCUGGUUCAAAGUUGAGGUUUAAAAACAAAGGUUAAAUCUCUUCAUUAAAAGGCUCAAAUCUGCUGCUUUCUGAACAGCUAUAAAUCACAAGCACACUGUUCUGCCUUCCUGCGUCGCCCAAGGGUGGUUUGCUCCCCAAAUGAUCCCAGCACGAGAGGAAUGUGGCAAAGAGCUGUAAAUGCCGGCGAGGUGACUGGAUGCACCAGGUCAGGAGGGAACAGUCAGUGUCUGGGCAGGCAGGACUGCUCCCAGCAUGGCAGCACAUAAACCAGCGCUGCUCAGAGAUUACUCACUGCCAGAUCGUGCUGGGAGAACAGGGCUGCACUUCCAGCCUGGCCUUGGUUCAGGAUGCCCCAUUAGAUCUUGCCGUGAGAGGAGCUGUGGCUUUGCUGGGGAAAGGCUGCUGCAGGCACCCUUUGUACCGGCAAGUUACGGGGCUGCUGAUUUAUAGCAGUGGUCCAAGGGGAAGGAAUUGGGAAAAGACACUGGAAGGUUGAGUUCUCAAAUGUAGGGUCCUUCUUGGUGUCAUUGUUUUCCUUCUGGCCAGAAAGGAAACAGAAGGGACUCACCAGUGUUAGCAAGGUCUGAUACUAACACUGGACAGUCCCUUCUCCUCAGCCUUGUUGUGACUUCUGGUGAGGACCGACAGUUGAUGUUCUCAUUGCUGUCUUUGAUAUCUGUGGUUCAGUGGUGGUCUGUCAAGACAACGUCCCGUGGACUUUUUCAUGGGAUAGACAGGGACAGGGGCAGAGCCGGAGAUUCACCUGCUCCAAAGGCAUUUAUGGACAGAGAGGGACACAGAUGGCAUAGGAUAGUGCUGUAUGGAAUUUCUUCAUCAUAAGAGAAGUCCCGCUCCAGAAGCAGUAAGAGAUGUCUCUGGGAGUGCUGUUGGUUUCUCUCAAUCCAGCUGCUGUACUGAGUGCUCCAAUCCUCACUAGCACCAGCUUGGCAUCCUUGAUAUCCAAAGAAAGGCAAUGAAGCUGCAGAGAGUCUGGAGCACAAGUUCUAUGGGGAGUGGCUGAGGGAACUGGGGUGGGCCAGUCUGGAGAAGAGGAGGCUCAGGGAAGACCUCACUGCUCUACAACUCCCUGAGAGGAGGCUGUGGUGAGGUGGGGGUCAGCCUCUGCUCCCAGGUAGCAGUGAAAGGAUGAAAGGCGAUGGCCUUGAGUUGUAUCAGGAGAGGGUCAGGUUGAGUAUUAGGAAACAUUUCUUCACCAGAAGAGCGGUGAGGCACUGGCUCAGGGAGGUGGGGCAGUCACUGUCCCUGGAGGUGUUCCAGAGCCAUGGGGAUGUGGCACUGAGGCACAUGGUCAGUGGGCAUGGUGGAGUGGGCUGGGGUUGGACCUGAUGAUCUUAGUGGUCUUUCCAACCAUAAUGAUUCUGUGAUUCUGUGAUUCUGUGAUUCUAUGACCACGUAACAGAACCAUCAUCAGGAGUGGACUCCUGGUAUAGGAAAUAAUUACAAGGCUGGUACCAGCUCAGUAGUUUUCAGCUUUUCUUUCACACACACCCCUCCAGCCUUUGUGUUAAGGAUCAGCUGAUAUUCCUGCCAUUGCUCAACACAUCUCCUGUCUGGCAGGUUAGCAGAGCUCCUGGCCCUGCAGGAAGUCUUAUCUGCUUUUCUCAGCCAGAGAGCUGCUGGUUGCAACGUGGCCUCUUAGGCCAAGAGUGAGUUAUAGGAAGAAGAAAAUCUGAUAAGCCAUGUGGGUGGUGACACACUGAUAAGGUCUAACCUCCUGCUGUGCUGGAGUGAUGUUUGGGGAUGAAGAGCCACUCUUGGUGGGAAGAGUACAGGAGGCUUUGAGGGAGUAUUCAAAGCAGAUCUUGAACUUUCCUCGCUGGGCAUCCCAGAGUUACUUUUGGUUCAAGAGGGCAGCUCUGGGCUUUCUCACACUUUCUGUGCGAGUAAUGUUACCAGAUGCCAUCUGAUAACAGGCCUCAUCUAUAAUGCAGCAAGUGCUUGGUUUAUCCAGCAACUUUUGCAUGUGUGCCUGGCUCCCAGGUGUCAGAAAACCAGAGCUCAGCACCCAUGGCAGCCUCUGUACAUCCCACACAGCCCGUGUCUUUUUGGCCUCUUGGUUCCUGAGGCUGCAGAAGUAGCUGAGAAUGAGGGGCCUUUGUGAGACAAAAUUGUCUUUGGUGCCUACGAGUAAAUCCAGCUCUCAUCCUGGUUUGGCCACGUGCCAAUAGCAGCUUUCUUUUUAUAGUACAUGUGUAUACAUGUGCUGACACCACAUCCUGACCCCCCGACACAAAAUACCUCGUCUGCAUGAAUGAAGCAAUGGGGGUGGCCAGCAUUCAUCCUCUGCAGGAAGAACAACUUGCAGCCUUCAUGCCACUAUGUUGUCCUCAACUUUCUGCACACAGGCUUCUUCUGCAGGGUGCAAAAGGACAGCCUGCAAGGCAGUGGGCUUAGAAACAGCACUUCCUUUGCGCUGCUCACUUCUGGCCCUGCAGGGCUGGGAUUGCGGCACCACAGGAAGUGAGGAAACACUUGGUUAGCUUUUUGCGCUCGUGGGUUCAGUCCCACGCAGCCCAGCUGGGUCAGCAAAAAGACUGUAGGAUGGGAGGGCAUGAACCUCAGGGACUCUGGUCCUUACCAGCCAAAUCAAAGCCCGGACUGUACAUAAAAUCACAUCCUGCUUUUUAAGAUAUAACUAGGAUGAGGAUUUCUUAUUCCUCUGGAGGAACCAAAGGGUCAGGGGCGCAGUGGCUCAGUGAGAGGAAGAACACAACUCCCAUGGCCAGAGGGCAGUGAGGACACACAAGGAGAUGUGUGAUGCUCCAUGAGCUGGCCUGUGAAGGUGAAAAGCAGAGCUUGCACCUAUUCCAGCUUUUCUGUAA